CUCUAGUCUCCUCACAACAUGCAUGCACACAUGCAGCCUUACAUAUGAACAACUGCAUGUACAUGUACAACCUCAUACGUAUGGAAUAUCUGUGUGCAUACAUGCAACCUUACACAUAUAAACGUGUGUGUAUAUGUGCGACCUCACACAAAUGAAUGUGUGCAUGUAUGUGCAUAGCUUCAUAUAUAUGAACAUGUAUGUAUACACACAUGGCCUUGCACAUAUGAACAUGUGUGUGCCUACAUGGUAGCUUCUACAUAUGAAUGCAUGUGCCUACAUGCAGCUUUAUACAUGCAUGUAUGCAUGCACACGUGCAGCCUCACACAUAUGAAUAUGUGUAUGCACACACAUUAGAACUAGCAUCUUCCCAGGUAAUACUUCUUUAUGUUUUAUGUUUUAUCUUUUAAGAAUAACCCUCUUACCUUUUUUUUUUCUUACCAUAUUUAACUUUUGAAAGCUAUAGGCCUUUUGGUUUGGUACAGAUCUCCUGUUAAAUUUACUGACUUGUUUUCUCCUGGUAAAAUUUAACUUGCUCCUCAACCCCUGAUUUUGUCUUAAACUGGUUAGUCCUAGUUGUCAGUACCUGGCUGCUGAGGCUGUGGGUGGACAAGCUGCACAAGGUCCUGGGCGUUUGGGUGGCCAAUGUUGCUGUGCACCAGGACUGUGCCCAAACUUAUUGAACUCUUCCUUCCUUCCUUCCUUCCUUCCUUCCUUCCUUCCUUCCUUCCUUCCUUCCUUCCUUCCUUCUUUCCUUUUCUGAGACAGAUUAUGCUAUGUAGCCCAGGCUAGGCUGCAGCACCUGCUCCUUCUGCCUCAGCCCCAUACAGUCUUAGAUUACAGCAUGUGCUCCCAGGCCUUGAUCUUUGAACUUCCUUGAUGUACAACUUGAAAACAUGACAGAGAUUUAAUAAGAUCACCUGCUCUAUGCCAGCCCUUUGAGGAACUUCUUGGAAAAAUAUCACUUACUUGUGUGAGUGUGUGUGUGUGUGUGUGUGUGUGUGUGUGUGUGUGAGAGAGAGAGAGAGAGAGAGAGAGAGAGAGAGAUGCAUGGGGGUACACAUGCCAUUGCAUGCAUGUGGAUGUCAGGGGACAACUUUGUGGAGUCAGUUUUCUCCUUUUGCCUUUUUGUAGAUUCCAGGGAUUGAACUUAGGUCACCAGGCUUGCACGGCAAGCACCUCUACUUGCUAAGCCAUCUCGCUGGCCCCCUUGGCAGAGUAUCUUAUCUGGACCCACAAAAAAACAUUUUGAGGAAAGGGUAUUUACUUUAUAGCUGAAAAGCUGAGGUUCAGAGGUAUCAAGGUGGGAAAAGAAAUUAAAUUUUUUUUUGUUUAUUUUUUGAGAUAGGGACUCACUACAUAACCCUGGCUGUCCUGGUACUUUCUGGAUAGAUCAGGCUGUCCUCAAACCCACAGAGACCUGCCCACUUCCAUCUCCUACGUGCUGGCUGUAUGAGCCCUCUACCACUCAGUUACAUCUUGGCUCCUCGUAACCUUCCCCCGAGACCCUUUCCUCCCCAGAUUUUACAUGUGCAUUCCCUUCCGGUGCCCCUCACCUUUGCACCCAGUACCUUUUGCUUCUUUGAGGUUGUUUAGCCUGGAUGCCUCAGCACCCCACGUUAAUUUAUUCCCAGAUGCCCAGCUCCAGUGCGAUCUUGCAGAAUCUGCUCCCAGCUCAUCUCCAUCCAAACGUAGCCUCACUGGCUUCAGGUCCUGUGCUUGCACCACCGUCUCAGUAUUCGGUCCUGUGUGCUGCACAAGCUUUGCUUGUAGCUGGUAGAGCAAGCUCGCAGGAGUCAAGGGCUCAAACCCCAGGCCCUUCAUACCCCUCUGUGACCUUGCGUGUAUCAAUUCACCUGAAACGUCAUUUCCUUCAUUUCUAAGGGAGAGACGGUUGGGAAGGUCAAGAUGUCAUGAUGCUUCCGAAUCCAAUGGUGCCACUGUAGAGCCCUCGGCAGGGCGAAAGGGAGCCCCUGGCAGACUCUGAGGCCCUGCUAGUUGGAUUUCCUUCCCAGACCCCAUGUGCAACCUGACACAGAACAGCUGUGGAUGUCCUCAGGGUCAUUUCCCCCAAAUACCAAACGGGUCCCUGCAGAUGCCACAGACCUGGGGCUUGCCUGCGUUUUUUGGCAUUUCUUCAUCACCCCCUCGGUGUGGGGCAAGACUUGGCUGGGCCCACAGCCAGCAAUAAAGCGGAUGCUAAUCAUAUCAUUAUAUGCUGAAUAAUUAACUGUCAUUUAAAUAUUCAUAUGUUGUUGGGGGCAAGGCCUUUUAUCAGUAUCUGGGGACAUGUCAGCAGAGGAAAGAGAUGGAUGUCGCCAAGGCUGACUCCGCCUGUGAAGGGCGACCUGGGGUCCAGGGAGAGCCAUUGCAGUGGUCACCAGACAGUCAGCUAAUAUAUAACUGCAAUAUUCUCACGUGAUAAACGGCAACUUCAUAAACGCUUGAUGCAUAUGAGCAACCCUAAAACAAUAUUGGAAGCAUUAAUUUCAUUUGACUAAUGCUUAUCUAUAUUUUAUUCUGUUGCCAUCUCUAAAGAAGCCCCUCUUUCCUUCAGGGGAAGGGCGGUAGGGCUGGAGGGCCACUGAUGGACGACAGCAGCCAAGGGGGGCACUUUCCGUUAGCCCUGCCUUUAAGAUGACGAGAUUUGGGACUGGCUCUGAGCUUUGAAGACCUGUCUGAGAGUCUGUGUGAAAUCCUGCCUGAGUCCCUGUCGGGGAACUCAGCCUCUCUGGUGGCAUUACAGGAGAGUGGCAUGGGUAUCUCAGGCUUGGCCAGGUAAAGCAAAGUUGUAUAGGUGCCCUCUUGCUGUCAUGGAGGAAUCAAGAGGGGAGGCCUUGAAGACAGAAGUAUAGUCAGGUGGGGAGUAUUAUGAAGUGACUCUUCUAUAGUGGGGUGUGGGUGGUUGUGGUGGUUUGAAUAUGCUUGGCCCAGGGAAUGGGACUAUUAGGAGGUGUGACCUUGUUGGAGGAAGUCACUGUAGGAGUGGUCUUUUAGACCCUCCUUCCAACUAUGUGGGAGUCAGUCUUCUCUUGGUUGCCAUUGGAACAAGAGGUAGACCUCUCAGCAUCUCCAGCGCUAUGCCUGCCUGGAUGCUGCCAUGCUUCCUGCCAUGAUGAUAACGGAUUGAACCUCUGAACCUGUAAGCCAGCACCAAUUGAAUGUUGUCCUUGUAAGAGUUGCCUUAAUCAUGGUUUCUGUUCACAGCAGUAAAACCCUAACUAAGACAAAUAGGAAGGGACCCGGAGGAGAGAAAGGGAACAGAGGGAGGGUGUGAAGGAACACGAAAGCCAAGAGGGAGAGAACGGCACCUGGAGGUCUGGUGAUGGGUGAGCUGGCUGUUCUGGAGGAGCGAAGCAGCUUGGUGGGGGGGGGGGUUAGUAACAAUGGUUCUAGAAUUGGAUAGCCAUGGGCUGGGCUCUAGCUGUGCCAUUAACUAGCUGUAGGACUCCUGGAUCCUCUUUUUUUAACCCUCAGUUUCCACUUGUGUAAUAGGAGCCACUGUGCUUCAGGGGUGGGCUGAUGACUUAUCGGGUUGCUCUUCUGGGGUCUCACAGAGCUCCAUCAAAUGUCAUCGAUUGGGAGGCUCAAAUUGUGGGUGGUGGUAGAGGUGAUGUCGGUGGCAAUGUCAGUGGUGAUGGUGGUAAAGUUGGGAGGCGAUGGCAGUGGGAAUGGUAGUGGUGACAUUGUUGAUGGCAGUGGUGAUGGUUGUGGUGAUGUUGGAGGCGAUGGUGAUGGUGGUGGCGGUGGCGAUGGUGGUGGCCGUGGUGGUGGUGGUGGGUGUCUGCUUUCAAGAACUCUCUGCAGUUUGCUGACUUUUGUUUCCUUUCAGGAUCUGACGCUGGCUGGUUGUCUGCCAAGGAGACCCUCAAUUCUGAGUGGCCCAUGGUCACUGGCCCUGGGAAUUUCUUCAGCAUGGCUGCUGACUACAUCAAGCAAGAACCUGUUCCUAAGACAGAGCUUAUAUGAUACAUAGUGAUCAUGAAGUAUGGAGGGACACUGUCACCUUUCCAGGUUUACUAAUGAGUGACAGGUUCUGCUAACAUAUAUGGGAGGGGAUAGUACAGGGGUAUGAAUACCAGGGGCCUGGGUUGCUGAGUGACCCUCAAGCCUUUACAUCAUAUCUGACAAGGUUAGCAGUGAGUGCUCUCAGUACCAGGUACUCACGGUCCCUGCGUUUUGUGAACUUUCUCACCUGACCCACAGAAUAACCCAAGAAGAGCAGUAACUGCCCUCACUGUACCAAUGGAGGAAUGUGAGGUCAAGGAUCCUGGUAGGGGUUCAACAGGGGAAGGCAGGAGCACUGUGGAAUUGGUCAUAGACACCAUGUGAUCCAACACCCAGGGUUGCCAGUGAAGACAAACCUCAGAAGACUCUCAGGACAUGCCCUGGCCCUAGUUCCACUUUGCCAGGACACGUGACAACACUGGGUCAUGCAGGUGACUCCAGGACAAGCUCUCUGUGGUAAAGCCAACAGGUUAGCAACUCACUUCACCCACAGCCUUAAUUCCCCAUGGGCCAAGUGACAUAGCAGGUUCUCGGUGUCCAAGAUAAGGACUCUAGUAUCAUCUGCCUAGUGUCUCCUGUCAGUUAGUUCUUCUGUCUGUCGUGCUACCAGGGGCUUAUGGGUUGGAUGCUACGGCUCCUGUCCCAGGCCACCCUUUACUUCCCCAUUAGCCAUCCUUAGCUCUCUCCAGAGCCUGGAGCUCACACUAGAGAGCCAAGCAAAAUGUAAAUUUAUUCUCCGGAUAUGAAAUAAUGAGAAAGGGUAAUACGUGGAAAAGAAAGAAAAAGGAAGGAGAGGGAAGAAAAAGAUAAGGGAGAGAAGAUGCAAGUUACAUUUAUACAUUUUAAAGCUCUGUGCUGGCCCAUAGGCUGUCAGUUUGUUCCUAUUAGACCAAGCUCCCGGACAUGAGCUGAAGUUGAAGCUACAGAGAUAUCAGUCAACACGUUAGCAUUGGGCCAUCAGUGUCAUGUCCCUGAGCAUGCCGAACAGGUCCUCUCCAGGAUGGAGUGUCUAGAACUGGAGCCUGUAUCCUAUGGCCCUUAGCAGUAUGUCUUGUACAAUACAAAAGUGACACACAUUCUACGGCCCUGUCCUGCUGUCUCACACAGCCUGCGACACAAAGCACAAAUCCAGGGAGCGUUGCUUGUUGAAUGUGUAAUUGAAUGAAACCCAGGGCCUUUCAUUCACUCCGCGUCCUGCUCAGGGAUCUGUGACCUCCUUCAGAGCGCUUGGCUCUUCAUAACGGGCUCCGGCCACAGGCACAGUGGAUGAGGUAUGCAUGAGUGUGAGCAUCAAUUACGGGCUUCACUGACCUGGAACCCAAAAUGAGAGCCUGUGCAGGAAGUGACCAUGGCCUGGGCUGGAAAGGCCAGGUCAGGGAGAUGAACCAUGGGACUUCUGGCCUGCCCUUGCAGCUGCCCCGGCUGCUUCCUUCCCAUUCUCUCCCCCCAACCCCCAGCCCCAUGCAUUCGAGAUUCCCGGGAGGUCGAGCCUGGUGUAAUUACAGGGUAUCUGCUACCUCCCUAUAAAUCUAAUAGACUUUUUGGCCUUGUCAGAUUAAAACUUACCUAUCAACCCGCCGCAGUCCUCUAGAUCUCCCUAAAUCUGUACUUGGGAGAGAAUUUAUGGCCAGGAAUUGCAUUUUGCAAAAUGAUUAAAGUUGCCAAACAGCCAUAAAAAGUUGCAGGAGGAGAUAUGGUUUUUUUGAAAGUCUGCUUAAUUUAUAAGGGGUGGAAGGUUUAUUGUCAUUUAGAGUCCAAAGCCUGGCAGCGAUGGAGCGUUUGGCGGCAGCUGUGCACAGCUGCUCUUGCUUUAUGCCUUUUACAUGUUUUUAAAUUGCCCUGUUUGAAUCUGCAGCCGCCGAAGCAUCCCGGUUUGCAGAAGGGUGGUUCCUCCUGCCCUCUGACACUGGCAGGAGACUGCCCUACUCCCCAAACGACCCGACUCACCUUCCAGAAGUGUUCCUGGCUGAUCCAGUCUCACGCUGACUACUCCAUGCCUUCCGGUCACUGUCCAGCCCCUGUGAAACACCAGCAAGCACUCACGUGUGCAAAGCUUUUAAGUUUAUAGGCGGGUUUCGCAUGCCGUGUCUUAAUACUUGUCUCCCUGGAUUAAAUGAUUAAACAAGAUCAAACACUCGGGGCUCUAAACGCCUGGUGUUACCUCUUGAGCUGAUAAAUAGAAUUAGGGCUCCCAUUUAUUGACCACAUGUGAGAUGCCAGGCCUCUCUGCUCCACGCUCCUAGCACAUUAAUUCACAGAAUCUUGGCUGCCACUGUGGGAGAUAGCUGUCAGUUGUACCUGGGCUUUGGGAAGUGUGAAGAACUUAAGGCCAAGGUCAUGCAGUCAACACUCGUGCACAUUAGCUAACAGUUAGUAAUGUCAUUAGGGCAAGCGUCUCACUUGUCUGUCUGGAGGGCUGGCACAGAGCAGGCCAUGGAUGGAUCCUGUUGAGGAUGAGCCUGCAUGCCUGCAUGACCUGAGCUGUCCCAGUUGCUGUUUCUCAUCCCCGCCCUCUUCUCUUUCUCCUUACAGGCAUCAGACCCUGGAUCAUCCGAAGUCUAACUUAGCGCUCAGGCUGGUGUCUGACAUAUUCUUGAUUCACUGGAACGAGGACUGAAUACUGUCAGUCCCAGCAGUCCUCUGAGGAUGGUUUUAGGAACUCCAUCCUGCAGGAGGGAGGGGCCUGAGAGUGUGUGACACCUGCUCAAAUAACAGUGUCAGAGCCAGGAUUUUGGAUUCUGAGGCCCGAGUUUUUGUUUCGUUGUUUUGUUUUCUCACCAGCGGCCGCCCACCUAGCCACCUGGCAGGCAUUUGGGGGAGAUUCGGAAAUGUUUCCUCUUUGCUGCCAUCCUGUCUAGUAUCUGUGAAACACCCAUCACUCACCAGCUGCAGACAUUCUCCAGAAAGCUUCAGAACACCCUCGCAAAGGUGUCUGCUAUUGCCCCCAUUUUACAGAUGUGGAAGCAGGUUGAAGGAGGCUUCCUAGUAACUGACUGAGCUGCUUCCCGAGGUAAGGGUCAGAGUGACUGGGAUACAGGCUGGAGAGGGAUGACCUGCAAACCCAGCUUGGCAAGGGUUGGCAGGAGCAGAGGAGGGUCAGGAGAAGCUCCUAGAAGUCUCUUUCCCCUACUGGCCUUUGAGGGCAGAGGUGAGAUUUGGUAGACUCUUGAUAGGAAUUGUUCUGUGUGCAAGCAAGAACCGAGUUAGGUGGAGUGUAAGCAUUCUAGCCUGGCCUGGGUUGUCCCGAGUCCCUUCUGGUUUCAGUCUUGAACUUGUCCUUCCCUGCAAUGCAGAGAUGCGCAGGUGGGAGGGGAGGAUCUAUAGGCUGCUGUGUACAACUGGUCCUUAAGGUUUCUAUCAACCCCAUCCACAAUUUUUCCCACCAGCCUCCUGCCAGCACCAUGGAGUGAAGAGCAGUCUGGCCCAGGAUGCUGAGUUGGAUCCACUUAGACAUUCUCCAGCCCCCCCCCCCCCCAGUGCAUCCCUGUCCCUCCAUCCUUGCUGUACAGUGGUCUGCCUUCCUGCUCACAACCAGGCUCGGCAGGAAAAGCAGCCUACUCCUCCAGUUUCCCUGCUUCCUAAACAUUGCUGAUGCCCGAAGGCUGCUCUCAGCUCUUCUCCUGGGUGGGUGCAUUUAUUUAUUCCUCCUCUCAUUCAUUUGUUGAUUCAUUCAGCAAGUAGUUUCUGAGCUCUUAGGCUCUCCUAGGUUGGGAACACAGCAGUGACCCCAGCUGACCGGUCUGUCCUCUCUACAGAGGUUACCACACUGAAUGGAUAGACGUGCCGGCUUUUAGUGAGCAACACAGGCCUUGAUGCCAGUAAAACACGAGGCAUGAUGGAAAGGGACUGGCCAUUGCUUUGGUUUGCAGACAGAGAUCCCAUCAUCUGCAGGAGGAUUUGAGUGUGAUGAAGCCAUUCAUAGGAAGAUCUAGAUGAAGAACAUCCCAUGCUCAGUGAGCAGGAAGUACAAAGGCCCUGGGGUUAGAGAGAACUUUUCCGACUCCAGGAACCAGAGGAGGCUGGCCUUAGCGGUGACAACAGGCAGGAUCUUGGUGACACUUUCUAUUUCCCCGUAAGUACAAUAGCAGCUCUUGGGGGCUUGGGUCUAGGGAAAACUCUGACUUGAUUUAUAUGUCUCUCUCUGCCUUUUGUACUGAUAACAGAGAGACCAUUAAGAGCUCUGAGGUCAGAAGAUGGAGCAGUCAUUAUUUAAGUGCCUGCGUGUAAACAUGAAGAGCAGAGUUCAGUCAAACAAGCUGGGCAUGGUGCCAUGAGCUUGUAAUCCUUAGGUUGGAGAGAUGGAGACAAGAGACUUCUAGGGACGAGCUGGCUAGUCAGUCUAGGCAAAUAAGUGAACUUCAGGUUCAGGAGAGACUCCAUCUCAAAGGAGGCGGAUGCUGUUCUUGAUGACAUCACCGAAAGUUGUCUUUAGCUUUUCACACACUUUCCUGCAAGCAUGUACGCACACACACACACACACACACACAUACACAUGAAAAAAAUAAUUGUGCCAGUUACUAGUCCAACAUCACAGUCUUCUACAGAUACUCAGUAUCCCAUCCUAGCUCCUUUAGGUCUUACACCGACACAUCGCGUUCCAGGAAUAACUUUAUCCCUUACCUUUUCAAAGUUCCUGUUCAGUCCUCAGAACCCAGCUCCUGGGUAUCCUUCUGGGGAGCCCUUCUCCCUCACCCGUGGCAGGAUAAAUUCACACCCUCACUGCCAUUACCAGUUCUAACAACAGGCUCAUACAGUGUGUUUCUCGUCCCUCUUUCCACUAGGUCAGGAGUCCUUCCAACAUGAAGAUCUAACUCUGAUGGUCUUGGAGACCACAGACCUUCCCUAGCCUGGUCUGGGAGGGAUGCCUGGCAAAUGCUUUCUGGGCUAACGUGAGUUAUUUGAGCACUCGAGUCGCUAGCAGAAGCACUGCGUUAGCGAGUCCCCUUUGUUUGAACAAACAAGAUUAGAAGCAUUGCACUGUUUGUUCUUCCUGGUGAGGCUCUAGCAAAUCCACACUUUGUGGGACUUCUGGCCUCUGGAGGGCCCCUCAGUGUUUUCUAAAAGCAUAGCCCGUGAGAGUUAAAAUUUGAAUAGAUAUCUCUCAAGAGCUGGUCCUGUAUUCCUGUAUUACCUUGAGACAAAUGUUUGUUAAUAUAUAUAUAUAUAUAUAUAUGUAUUCUAGUUGCUAGAAUACAUGUUGUAAAUACUUGCGUUUGAAAAUGUACACUUCCGGGAUGCUUUGUGGGUUCCUGUGCAUGUUCACGUACGACUAGAAAUCUGUUUGUCACAGAUGCUUCCCAGGUCUGGUGGUUGUUUUCUCUAUCCUAAUUAAUCUAUUGAUGUAGAAUUAUGCAUCUUUCCCCAUAAGCCGGGAGUGUAUUUAAAAGCUCAUUUCCUUGCCUGAGAUACAUGCAAAUAAAAGUUAAAGACAAUUGAAACGAUGUCCUGUCUCUUUAUCCCACCUAAGGACCAAAUGGGUGUAUCAGCGGUGGCAUGACCACACCCAUAGCAGCUAAUAUCCGGUCACCUGCGAGCUUGCUGAGGCAUCUGUGCUCUGAGUCUUGCCUGUUGCUUCGGCAAAUGCUUGUUGAUGAGGGUUAGUGAAUUAGCUGCCUAACUCAGCUGCCC
rnacentral:lncRNA from 1 species